CCGUGUGAGUGCUGUUAUAUAUUUCCAUCCCUUCUCAUGUAAGUGUGUAUACAACUUCAUCUCCAAGCGAAGUCCAGAAACUUCAUCUCCAUUGUGUUUCUGGUGCAGAAAACGCGAAAUGGAAAACCUUUCAACAAAGCUGUGGAGUCUUUGCCGACGGGGUUCAGGGUCGAAGCCCUUUGUAGAAGUACUCGUCAAUCAUUACUUGAAGUUGAAAGAACGGGCCGUGUAUUGGUGCCCCAAUCAGUCCCGGUGUUGGCUAGGAACACACGGGCAUGGGUCAUGCACGAAUAUCACCUAAACCCGUUCCCUAGUAGAAUGCUUCGAGAGGCCAGGAAAUUUGUUCUUGGCCUCUUGAAAGAAGUACAAGAUGAGAAGGCUGAUAAUCUUCUUCAUCAACAUAUGUGACACCUCAACCAAAGCAGUUUUGAGAAUGUCAAGAUAUCUCAAAAGAGGCUAUCCAUGUAUCUCUAAUCAAAAUUUGAAGAUAUGUCAACAAGCGAUCUAUAAAGCCAUAUGCAACCUAGUUUUCAUUCGCUUAUUGUAGAGCACAAUGAACUUUCUGAAAGAAUCAAGGAAACUUUUUUUUUCUUGUCAAGAAGGCAUGUUCCUCAUUUCAAAUUUCCUCUUCUUUUUAUCCACAGUCGAUUUUCGAUCCGAAUUACGACAUAUGGACAAUACAGUCAGUAUGAGCAGAUAAUGGCAUAUUCUCAAAUGAUGAUCGCCUACAAUAUGCUAAUCAGUACUCAUCUCCUCCGAAGAUUGUAUAAAAGAGAGUAUAUAAAAUCACAGGGUUCUGAGCCCAAACAUCGAUAAAUGAAAACCCCUUUUGCAAAACCCCAGAAUCAGUCCUACGUUCUUAGAUGCUCUGUCUUCUUUUACCACAGGAUGCCAUCGUACCUUCUUUUCCUCUCCUGUGAGCCAUGAACAUGUCUUAUAUUAUACUAAUGAUGUAUUGAGAUGAAUAUGGUUCAGUCUU